rnacentral:rRNA from 1 species
UACGUAGGGUGCGAGCGUUGUCCGGAAUUACUGGGCGUAAAGGGUUCGUAGGUGGCCAACUCAGUCAGACGUGAAAUCCCUCAGCUCAACUGGGGAACUGCGUCUGAUACUAGAUGGCUCGAGUGCAGGAGAGGAACGCGGAAUUCCAGGUGUAGCGGUGAAAUGCGUAGAUAUCUGGAGGAACACCGGUGGCGAAGGCGGCGUUCUGGACUGCAACUGACACUGAGGAACGAAAGCCAGGGGAGCAAACGGG